rnacentral:rRNA from 1 species
CGGGUGGUAAUGCCGGAUGCUCCAGUUGGAUGCAUGUCCUUCUGGGAAAGAUUCAUCGGUAUGGGAUGGGGUCGCGUCCUAUCAGCUUGAUGGCGGGGUAACGGCCCACCAUGGCUUCGACGGGUAGCCGGCCUGAGAGGGCGACCGGCCACAUUGGGACUGAGAUACGGCCCAGACUCCUACGGGAGGCAGCAGUGGGGAAUAUUGCACAAUGGGCGCAAGCCUGAUGCAGCGACGCCGCGUGCGGGAUGACGGCCUUCGGGUUGUAAACCGCUUUUGACUGGGAGCAAGCCCUUCGGGGUGAGUGUACCUUUCGAAUAAGCACCGGCUAACUACGUGCCAGCAGCCGCGGUAAUACGUAGGGUGCAAGCGUUAUCCGGAAUUAUUGGGCGUAAAGGGCUCGUAGGCGGUUCGUCGCGUCCGGUGUGAAAGUCCAUCGCUUAACGGUGGAUCCGCGCCGGGUACGGGCGGGCUUGAGUGCGGUAGGGGAGACUGGAAUUCCCGGUGUAACGGUGGAAUGUGUAGAUAUCGGAAAGAACACCA